GAUGAACGCUGGCGGCGUGCCUAAUACAUGCAAGUCGAGCGAACAGAUGAGGAGCUUGCUCCUCUGACGUUAGCGGCGGACGGGUGAGUAACACGUGGAUAACCUACCUAUAAGACUGGGAUAACUUCGGGAAACUGGAGCUAAUACCGGAUAAUAUAUUGAACCGCAUGGUUCAAUAGUGAAAGACGGUUUUGCUGUCACUUAUAGAUGGAUCCGCGCCGCAUUAGCUAGUUGGUAAGGUAACGGCUUACCAAGGCGACGAUGCGUAGCCGACCUGAGAGGGCGAUCCGCCACUCUGGAGCUGAGACACGGUCCAGACUCCUACGUGAGGCAGCAGUAGGGAAUCUUCCGCAAUGGGCGAAAGCCUGACGGAGCAACGCCGCGUGAGUGAUGAAGGUCUUCGGAUCGUAAAACUCUGUUAUUAGGGAAGAACAAAUGUGUAAGUAACUAUGCACGUCUUGACGGUACCUAAUCAGAAAGCCACGGCAAACUACGU
rnacentral:rRNA from 1 species